rnacentral:lncRNA from 1 species
AAGGUCAUAAUCAAUUUUUUUUUCUUUUUUAGUCUCGAAAGUGUUUGAGAAUUAAAUCGUGCGCAUGGUCUCCAAUUACAAUAUUGGCAUGGCUCUGGGUUGGUGAAAAUCAUGUUCUGGUGGGCUUAGCUUAUUAAUUAAUCUGGGUUUUGCUUCACUCGUAUUCAAAUUGUUUAAGGUGUUGCAUAUAAAGAUCCAAAAGGAUGUCUGGGUUUUUUUACUUCCACACUUUUGCGUGUGUUUGUGUGUCUGUGGGCCAAGUGAAGGGGUGGGGGCAGGGGCAGCAGCAGCAGCAGCUCUGCGUGGUUUGCGCCAUGGACAAAUUUCACAGAUUGGGCAAUUGACCUCCCUCGUGUGUAUGUGUGUGUGUGUGGUUUGCGCCAUGGACAAAUUUCACAGAUUGGGCAAUUGACCUCCCUCUGUGUAUGUGUGUGUGUGUAUGUGCGUGCGUGGUGUAUUUUGGUUCAACAUUGACAGCAGCGAACUUAACAUCUGUUGUCUCCAAUUCAGCCAUUAAAACUGUCCUCCAAGAAAUUUACUCUGAUAAUUUUGUGGUCUUAUGCUCAAG